UACAUGGGGUGCAAACGUUGCUCGGAAUCAUUGGGCGUAAAGCGCGCGUAGGCGGUUACUUAAGUUGGAUGUGAAAGCCCUCGGCUUAACUGAGGAAGUGCAUCCAAAACUGAGUAGCUAGAGUACGAAAGAGGGUUGCGGAAUUCCCGGUGUAGAGGUGAAAUUCGUAGAUAUCGGGAGGAACACCGGUGGCGAAGGCGGCGACCUGGGUCGAGACUGACGCUGAGGCGCGAAAGCGUGGGGAGCAAACAGG
rnacentral:rRNA from 1 species